rnacentral:rRNA from 1 species
AGCAGCCGCGGUAAUUCCAGCUCCAAUAGCGUAUAUUAAAGUUGUUGCAGUUAAAAAGCUCGUAGUUGAAUUUCGGGAUCAAUACGUCGGUCGUGCUUCGGUACGUACUGGCGUCAUUGAUUUCUCCCUUCUGACGAACCAUGAUGUCAUUAACUUGGUGUCAUGGGAAAUCAGGACUGUUACUUUGAAAAAAUUGAGUGUUUAAAGCAGGCUCACGCUUGAAUACAUUAGCAUGGGAUAAUGAAAUAGGACGUUCGAUCCUAUUUUGUUGGUUUCUAGGAUUGACGUAAUGAUUAAUAGGGAUAGUUGGGGGCAUUAGUAUUCAAUUGUCAGAGGUGAAAUUCUUGGAUUUAUUGAAGACUAACUACUGCGAAAGCAUUUGCCAAGGAUGUUUUCAUUAAUCAAGAACGAAAGUUAGGGGAUCGAAGACGAUCAGAUACCGUCGUAGUCUUAAACCAUAAACUAUGCCGACUAGGGAUCGGAUGAUGUUUAAUUUUUAAUGUACUCAUUC